rnacentral:misc_RNA from 1 species
AAGUCGUAACAAGGUUUCCGUAGGUGAACCUGCGGAAGGAUCAUUAAUGAAUUGUAAAGGAAAGUUGAUGCUGGCAAUCUCUGGUUGCAUGUGCUCGCUUUCCGACAACUUCUUAUUCAUACACCUGUGCACACCUUGAGAUGGAACUGUCCGUGCUCUGGUUUGAUUACCAGGGAGUGUUCGGUUUCUCUCAUUUUUACACAAACUCUUUUCUUGAAACAUCGAACACUUUAAUGUGCCGCAAGGCCAUAAAAAUCAAUACAA